UCCGAGUCUUGGGUUUUGUUUGGCCAACUAGAUCUAUGAUUCUUGCAAUGGGAGAAGUGCUUGGUUUUGGGUUCUGCCGUGUGGUGACCUUUCCCAGUGACAGUACGGGCAGCAAGGCACACAUCAAGUAGUUGCCAUCAAGGGUAAAAAGAUGGGGUUUUUAUCAUUGGUUUGAGAUUAUCCCUCUACAUCAUGUCAUCUUGCUU
rnacentral:lncRNA from 1 species